rnacentral:tmRNA from 1 species
GGGGGUGUCAAGGUUUCGACUUGGGAGCAAGGCGUAGGUGGCAUGCGGAGGAUCAUCGGUUGGCCUCCUAAAAAAUCCGAUGAACAAACAAUCGUCAACGUAACAGAAGACGAGUUCAAACUCGCAGCUUAACCGCUGCUUUGAACCAGUGGCCCAAGAUCAAACCAGGAGUCUUGGAGUUCCACUGUCAUACAUCCUGGUAUGAAUCCUCCCUUUCUCAGCGGGUCUGGGGAGGAAUUCGAGAUAUCGAGUCGCUGACUCGGUCCCAAGCGGAGCGCCUUCCGGCAAGAUCGGGGAAUUAAAAAGGCACUAAGCAUGUAGUCACUUACGAGGCGCUUGCCAAGGACGAGAGUUCGAUUCUCUCCACCUCCAA